CUACGGGAUGCUGCAGUGAGGAAUUUUGCGCAAUGGGGGAAACCCUGACGCAGCAACGCCGCGUGAGUGAAGAAGGCCCUUGGGUCGUAAAGCUCUGUCAAUGGGGAAGAAGUUAUUAUGUAUUAAUAGUGCAUUUUAUUGACGGUACCCAUGAAGGAAGCACCGGCUAACUCCGUGCCAGCAGCCGCGGUAAUACGGGGGGUGCAAGCGUUAUUCGGAAUUAUUGGGCGUAAAGGGCACGCAGGCGGUCCUGUCAGUCAGAUGUGAAAGCCCGGGGCUCAACCCCGGACGUGCAUUUGAAAUAGCAGGACUUGAGUACGGGAGAGGAAAGGGGAAUUCCUGGUGUAGAGGUGAAAUUCGUAGAUAUCAGGAGGAACACCGGUGGCGAAGGCGCCUUUCUGGACCGAUACUGACGCUGAGGUGCGAAGGCGUGGGUAGCGAACGGGAUUAGAUACCCCCGUAGUC
rnacentral:rRNA from 1 species